rnacentral:rRNA from 1 species
UACGAAGGGGGCUAGCGUUGCUCGGAAUCACUGGGCGUAAAGCGCACGUAGGCGGACUCUUAAGUCGGUGGUGAAAUCCUGGAGCUCAACUCCAGAACUGCCUUUGAUACUGAGGGUCUCGAGUCCGGGAGAGGUGAGUGGAACUGCGAGUGUAGAGGUGAAAUUCGUAGAUAUUCGCAAGAACACCAGUGGCGAAGGCGGCUCACUGGCCCGGUACUGACGCUGAGGUGCGAAAGCGUGGGGAGCGAACAGG